rnacentral:rRNA from 1 species
GACGAACGCUGGCGGCGUGCUUAACACAUGCAAGUCGAACGGAAAGGCCCUGCUUUUGUGGGGUGCUCGAGUGGCGAACGGGUGAGUAACACGUGAGUAACCUGCCCUUGACUUUGGGAUAACUUCAGGAAACUGGGGCUAAUACCGGAUAGGAGCUCCUGCUGCAUGGUGGGGGUUGGAAAGUUUCGGCGGUUGGGGAUGGACUCGCGGCUUAUCAGCUUGUUGGUGGGGUAGUGGCUUACCAAGGCUUUGACGGAUAGCCGGCCUGAGAGGGGGACCGGCGACAAGGCGCCUAAGAGAGGGAGCAGACUGGAAUGGGAGGCAGCGGGGGGAAAUCUUGCACAGUGGGCGGGAGUCUGUGGCGGCAGUGCUGCGAGCGGGAAGACGGCCUUCUGGGGGUAAACCGCUGUCGCCUGAGACGAAGCGUGAGUGACGGUAAUGGGUAAAGAAGCACCGGCUAACUACGUG